GAGUUUGAUCAUGGCUCAGAUUGAACGCUGGCGGCAGGCCUAACACAUGCAAGUCGAACGGUAACAGGAAACAGCUUGCUGUUUCGCUGACGAGUGGCGGACGGGUGAGUAAUGUCUGGGAAACUGCCUGAUGGAGGGGGAUAACUACUGGAAACGGUAGCUAAUACCGCAUAACGUCGCAAGACCAAAGAGGGGGACCUUCGGGCCUCUUGCCAUCAGAUGUGCCCAGAUGGGAUUAGCUAGUAGGUGGGGUAACGGCUCACCUAGGCGACGAUCCCUAGCUGGUCUGAGAGGAUGACCAGCCACACUGGAACUGAGACACGGUCCAGACUCCUACGGGAGGCAGCAGUGGGGAAUAUUGCACAAUGGGCGCAAGCCUGAUGCAGCCAUGCCGCGUGUAUGAAGAAGGCCUUCGGGUUGUAAAGUACUUUCAGCGGGGAGGAAGGGAGUAAAGUUAAUACCUUUGCUCAUUGACGUUACCCGCAGAAGAAGCACCGGCUAACUCCGUGCCAGCAGCCGCGGUGAUACGGAGGGUGCAAGCGUUAAUCGGAAUUACUGGGCGUAAAGCGCACGCAGGCGGUUUGUUAAGUCAGAUGUGAAAUCCCCGGGCUCAACCUGGGAACUGCAUCUGAUACUGGCAAGCUUGAGUCUCGUAGAGGGGGGUAGAAUUCCAGGUGUAGCGGUGAAAUGCGUAGAGAUCUGGAGGAAUACCGGUGGCGAAGGCGGCCCCCUGGACGAAGACUGACGCUCAGGUGCGAAAGCGUGGGGAGCAAACAGGAUUAGAUACCCUGGUAGUCCACGCCGUAAACGAUGUCGACUUGGAGGUUGUGCCCUUGAGGCGUGGCUUCCGGAGCUAACGCGUUUAGUCGACCGCCUGGGGAGUACGGCCGCAAGGUUAAAACUCAAAUGAAUUGACGGGGGCCCGCACAAGCGGUGGAGCAUGUGGUUUAAUUCGAUGCAACGCGAAGAACCUUACCUGGUCUUGACAUCCACGGAAGUUUUCAGAGAUGAGAAUGUGCCUUCGGGAACCGUGAGACAGGUGCUGCAUGACUGUCGUCAGCUCGUGUUGUGAAAUGUUGGGUUAAGUCCCGCAACGAGCGCAACCCUUAUCCUUUGUUGCCAGCGGUCCGGCCGGGAACUCAAAGGAGACUGCCAGUGAUAAACUGGAGGAAGGUGGGGAUGACGUCAAGUCAUCAUGGCCCUUACGACCAGGGCUACACACGUGCUACAAUGGCGCAUACAAAGAGAAGCGACCUCGCGAGAGCAAGCGGACCUCAUAAAGUGCGUCGUAGUCCGGAUUGGAGUCUGCAACUCGACUCCAUGAAGUCGGAAUCGCUAGUAAUCGUGGAUCAGAAUGCCACGGUGAAUACGUUCCCGGGCCUUGUACACACCGCCCGUCACACCAUGGGAGUGGGUUGCAAAAGAAGUAGGUAGCUUAACCUUCGGGAGGGCGCUUACCACUUUGUGAUUCAUGACUGGGGUGAAGUCGUAACAAGGUAACCGUAGGGGAACCUGCGGUUG
rnacentral:rRNA from 1 species